UACAGAGGUCUCAAGCGUUGUUCGGAUUCAUUGGGCGUAAAGGGUGCGUAGGUGGCGCGCUAAGUCAGGUGUGAAAUUUCGGAGCUUAACUCCGAAACUGCAUUUGAUACUGGCGUGCUUGAGGACUGGAGAGGAGACUGGAAUUCAUGGUGUAGCAGUGAAAUGACGUAGAGAUCAUGAGGAAGACCAGUGGCGAAGGCGGGUCUCUGGA
rnacentral:rRNA from 1 species